GGGGAAUAUUGCGCAAUGGGGGAAACCCUGACGCAGCAAUACCGCGUGAGUGAAGAAGGUUUUCGGAUCGUAAAGCUCUGUUAUUGGGGAAGAAAACAAGACGGUACCCCAGAAGAACGUCCCGGCUAACUACGUGCCAGCAGCCGCGGUAAUACGUAGGGGGCGAGCGUUGUCCGGAAUUACUGGGCGUAAAGGGUGCGUAGGCGGCUUGUUAAGUUGGAUGUGAAAUACCCGGGCUCAACCUGGGGGGUGCAUUCGAUACUAGCAGGCUAGAGUGCAGGAGAGGGAACCGGAAUUCCUAGUGUAGCGCUGAAAUGCGUAGAUAUUAGGAGGAACACCAGUGGCGAAGGCGGCUUUCUGGACUGUAACUGACGCUGAUGCACGAAAGCGUGUGGAGCAAACA
rnacentral:rRNA from 2 species